rnacentral:rRNA from 1 species
UAGGCCUACGGGGGGCAGCAGUAGGGAAUCUUCCACAAUGGGCGAAAGCCUGAUGGAGCAACGCCGCGUGGGUGAAGAAGGUCUUCGGAUCGUAAAACCCUGUUGUUAGAGAAGAAAGUGCGUGAGAGUAACUGUUCACGUUUCGACGGUAUCUAACCAGAAAGCCACGGCUAACUACGUGCCAGCAGCCGCGGUAAUACGUAGGUGGCAAGCGUUAUCCGGAUUUAUUGGGUGUAAAGGGCGUGUAGGCGGGCCUGUAAGUCAGAAGUGAAAUCUGGGGGCUUAACCCCCAAACUGCUUUUGAA